rnacentral:antisense_RNA from 1 species
CUUGAGCGACCCCAGCAGCAGCGGCUCGUCCGCGGGCCGGUCCUGCCCGUAGGUGGCCAGCAGGGCCUGGGCCUC